CAAACUUUGGUUCGAUGAAGAGGCAAGGUCGUGGUUAGUUCCGGACUUCGGUCCGAUGCAGUGGGCAAGGCCCAGUAGUUGCUUUAUAUGUUAUUGUAUGGUAUGUGGUAGUUUGGGGGAGCUCACUAAGCUUCGUGCUAACGGUUUUCGGUUUUGGUUUCAGGUACUCAGUUUUUAGGAAGAGGAGCUCGGGAAGAUUGCAGUGCACACACCAUUGUUCAGCCUGGGAUGUUUAUACUCUGAUAUAUUUGACAUUUGUUCUGAUAUUUUGAGAUAUAUUGUUUAUGAUUGUUAUGUGACGUUUGAUGAAUAUGGUUUUAUUACUAAUUCAAAACGAAAUUUUUGGCCUGUAUUUUUGGAAUGUUUCAAGUUGGUAUCAGAGCCUUGGUUUGAGGGAUUCGGGCGCACUCUCGAGUGUGUCUGAACUCAAACUAAGGAAGUGGUAUAAAGUUUUCAAAAGAAAAGAGUUUUAGAAAAGCAAAAAGGAACUUAAAAAGAAAAGAGUUUUAGAAAAGCGAAAAGAAUUUUUAGAAAGAAAAGAACUUUGAAAAGAGAAAAGGGUGUGGUGCAUGCAAUCAGCCGAGCUCAAGUAAGUAUCCCCAAAUUACCCAUACAAGUUUAUGUUAUGAUUAUCAGUUUCAGUUUUAGUAGAACAACAUACUAGAAUAGGACUAAGGAUCUAGGAGGAUGCCUUAUAUACCUGCUAUAUGUGUUUCAGCUUUAUGAGAAUCGCAUGCUAGUAUUGAGUAGACAGCAGUAGGAUAGGCUGUUUAGGUUAUGCCUGAUAGUAUGAGCUUAGCAUUGUAUGCUAGUACAGUUUCUUGUUAUGAGGAUAGAAUUGCUUGAGUAGUCUCCUGUGUCUGAAUGUUACUUGCUUUGUGCUUUGUGGGACUCGGAGUGAUGGGAGUUAGCCAUUAGGUGAAUACGUCACAUCACAUGUGAUCAGGGUUGAAUAAUCUCAGAGUGCUAGAUUUGGCCCUAGUACGCAGCUCUCGUUUGAGUCUAACCGUUGUAGGGAUGAGUCUUUUACUCGAAGGAUUAUCUGAGCCUCGCCACAUGUGAUGAUAUUCAAGUGAUAGCUAAUUGGCAUUACAAUGAGGCCUUCAGCAGCUGAGGAGUGGAUUGGGUAGAGUCAGAGAUUUCCCUAGGGCAAGCCUAGGAUGAGAGUAGCAGAGAUCAGUAGUAGUAGAAGUGACUUGGUGGAGUCGAGGUAGUACUUAAGGAAAGUACGGAUAGAUGUGGAAGGUAGCAUGGGCCAGAACUACUAAAAGCAGAGGAUCCGUACUCGAAUCAAGGAAGGCUGAGAUGAAUCCAGAAACUUGUAGUGUGUGAGAUCCCUAGAGUUUUGAUGAGAAUUGUGAUGUUAGUGGUGGUAUAUUACCGAGUAUAGUGAUGCUAUGCGGUAGACCAGAUGGUAGUUCUGGUGUCGACAAGGGAUCAGGCUCGGACUCUGUAGCCGAGCAGAUUGAUGAAUAGAUGAGGGAGUUCAUUCCAUCCGAGAAUAAUGCGCAGUAUCAUCGACCAGACUCUUGUGAUCCUCAGUGCGAUCAAGGAGGCAAUUAUAGAGAUUUGUGAUGAGAGGUCGAGUGCUUUAGCACUGAGAUAGCAGUCAUGAUAGAGACCUGUACGUUGACGUUUCAAGAAUUCAGAGUUUGUGAGGCUUCAAAUUGUCAUGGGGUUAGGGACCCUAUGGUUAGCAGUAGAUGGUGGGCAGAUGUUGCCAACACUUUUCGUACUAGACAUUGUCUCGAAAGGAGACAAGAUCUGACUUACUUACUGUCUCCUGAGGGAUAGAGCAUGAGAUUGAUAGGAAGAGGUUAGUAGUGAGUUGUGUGAUGAUGCGGUUAAUGCUAUGUCAUGGGAUGACUUUUAGACUAGAUUCUGGGCAGAGCGUGCCCAGGCGAUUGAGGUGCAGCAGCUGGCGCAAGAGCUGUUAGAUCUCCACCAGAUGACUGAGAUUGUGUCAGAGACCACUGCCAAGUCUCGGGAAAGAGCUUAUAUGGUACCACGGUAUGUAGCAGAUGAGGAAAUGAAGAAGCUAAGUUAUCAGAACAUACUGUAGAAUGAUAGCAGAGAGAUCAUGAGUAUCUCGGGGUGCAAGACCCUGAAUGAUAUGACUUCUUGAGCUUGAGAACGAGAUAUGGACUUGGAGCACAUUGGUAAGAGGGAACCAGAUCAGUUGCGUAUAGUGAAGGGUCUCGGGAGGAGAGCGUAGAUUUCAGAUCGGCUUCUAAGAGGCCAGCAGGGUCAGAUUCGGUGCAACACUUGCGGGAAACUGCACAAGAGAGCCUUUUGUUCCAAGGGUUGAGUGAGUGUAACCCUGAGUUAUCCUCGGUUUGUGUCUGAAUUAUAUUUUCAAGAGAUGUCAUAUGGCAAUUGCAUGCCGAGAAGCAUUAGCGAACUGUGAUAGAGCAAUUCUCCAUAUUACGGGAUUGGGAAAGUACAGCGUCAUCUUGGUUUAUUCCAAGACUAUGGAGCAGCACGAGCAGCACCUGAGGGAGGUGCUAGACACUUUGAGCAGGGAGAGAAUUUUCACAAGGUUCUCCAGUUGUGAGUUCUGGUUAUGUGGGGUGCAAUUUCUUGGGCACCUUGUCAAUCAGAAGGAUAUUCUAGUCGAUCCGGCCAAGAUAGAGGUUAUGAUGCAGUGGGAGAUUCUGAGGUCCCCAAUUGAGAUUCGGAGCUUUUUGAGUUUAGCGGGUUAUUACCAGAGAUGUAUUUGGAUUUUUAGGAGUUGUGUGAUCUUUGGAUUAGCUGUUUUUGCAAACACUAGAAAGGGUAAGUGUGGUUCUAGCAGAUUAGUCAUGGGUGGUAAGAAGGAUCGAGAAUCCUUUCCAGACAGUGAACUGUAAGGAGCUAGUUGAAUCAAAGUGGGGGAGGAACCCUCAUAUAGUCAGGAACGGAAGAAAGUACGAAGUUGGGAUGAGUUCGCAACUUUGUUGAGCAGGAUAGUAGUCCGAGUGGCUGAUCGGAUUGAGAAACGCGUGAUUUGGGAGUUAGGAAACUCCCCGGUAUUGAGUGCAUGUAAUAGCGAUCAGUAGAUGAUUGGUUUGGGAAACCAGGUUGAAGAUUUUUCGGCAAGACGCGAUAUUAGUUAGGAUGUAAGACUACGGUAUAGCCGUAGCAUUCACCAGCAGGUAGACAGUACGGGAAGUGUAGUGAGGCUACAGGAUGACUAUAGUAAUCACGUUAGACGAUAGCUGGUUCAGAAAAACCAGGUUGGAGGAUCGCCGACAGGACUCGAGUGAGUCACGAUCCAGAUUGAGUGAAGGUCCGGCAUGGGAUGCUUUCAGAUUAGUAGGCGGUGUAGAGUCCGAAUGGAGAGUGUAGCAGGACUGCGGAAUAGCCGCAUCAUUCCCCAGCAGCGAGUUAGUGAGGGAAGUGAUGUAAGUCUGCGGGUGUAGCCGUAGCAUUCACUAGCAGUCAAAUAGUAUCAGAGUGAUGUAAGUCUGUGGGUGUAGUCGUAGCAUUCACUAGCAGUCAGAUAGUAUCAAAGUGUUGUCAGUCUGUGGGUGUAGCUGUAGCGUUCACUAGCAACCAGAUAGUGAUAGAAUGUUGUAAGUCUGCAGGUGUAGCCGUAGCAUUCACAAGAUUAGCAGAUAGUGCUAGAGUGAUGUAAGUCUGUGGGUGUAGCCGCAGCCUUCACUAGGAUGGUAAAUAGCAUGAGCGCGUUGUUAGGACGCAGAAGGAAUAGUAGUACCCCCCCAGUUCGGGUGCAGCAGUGAGGGCGUGGCAAAUCCAUAGAUUGGUUAUAGAUUUCUCCAGAUGAAUUGGACUUGUUUGAGCCAGUGAUGAGACCGUUGAAUCACCGCUACAGAGAUGAGAGCAAGGAAGCAGUGGACUGCUUAAGGUCAUUUAUGACAUGAGGCUACAAUUGGUCAUGUAGCAAUCGCGUAUAUCCGUCGUUUGGAGACGUCAGGAUUCGACGCAUGGAGCCAAUCAGUUCAGAUCAAAAGGUCGUUAGGGUCACAGUGACAAGAUAGCUAGUAGCAACUAGUUCCAGAGAAGGAUUUCGUUCAUAAGUCGUGUGAGGCGACUAAGUAGUUAGUCCUUUGGCUCCGCAAUAAGGCUGGAACCCAACACUUCAGAUGAUUGGCAAAUAAGUUGAGACCAAGAAGGCCUAGAUAGAUUUCGGGAAGCAGUCAUGUGGCAACAUACUACUGUUCGAUUAAUGUUUAGGUCCAUAACUAUAAUUGGUAAGACUUGACCCGACCCGGCAUGGUCCAUUUGGGUUGCAUAGCAUCAUGCACUUGGAUAGACUAAAUGAGAGAAAUAAGACACUUAUGGUUAUUAAUAUAUUAUAAGUUCUAGUAUAUUAAUAAUAAGAAUAAUUAUAUUUAAUUAGUAUUGAUCAAGAAUUAAUUUAGAAUUAAUUAUGUGAUCAAAAGAAGACUAAUUAAAUAUAUGGGUUGAUUGUGCAAAUCAUCCAUAACUUAUAUAGUGGGCCAAAGCUCCAUCGAUAAUCAAGUUGGGUUAAACCCAUAGGAUGCUCCAUGGAUGCUCAAUGGAGGUUACAUAACCCAUGGGUCAUGGAAAUGAAAGGUCAUGCCAAUUAGGGUUUACAUGGUGUAACCCUAAUUGUAUCACACUAUAUAAGCAUCAUAUUAUUCACCAAAAUCGGCCACUAGUGUGUGAAAAAGAAGGGCUAGCCGAUUUUCAUGAAGUGUAGAAUUCUCUCAAGUCAUUCCAAGUGUAUUUGGUGUUGUGUGAACCAUUUGAGGUGUCACACUUGAGGCACUAGGCACUCAAGCUUCAUGAAGUCAUUCUACAUCAAAGAGGUAUGUAUUCUAUCUUGUUAUAUUCAUUAUUUUGUAUGCUAGAUUAGGAUAAUACCUUGGAUGUUCAUAUUUGUAUGUAUAAUAGAGAAAACAUAGAUCCAAGGUAUUUAGGGUUGCAUGUACACUUAGGAGUGUUAGAAUGCUCAAAACCCAACAACUGCUUCAGGCAGUUCAAUGUUCAGACAGUUUCAAUGUUCGGGCAGUGCUAGUAAUUGUGUUUAGGUUGCAAGUUCGGACAGAAUAGCUGGUUGAAAUGGAUAGUGACAAGUCACUCACAGUGAAAAUAGCGGAGCAUUGACCAAGUAUAAGUGAAUCUGUGAUUCUGUUCUUUUAGUGAGAGCCUUGGGUUAUCAGAAGAUGAGUAGGCUGCUGAGAGACAAGUAGAUUGGAGUUAGCAGUAAUGAUUCAGUAUGGGCGGUCAGUUAGAGGGUCAGAUCAUCUCGAGACAUUAGAAUUCAGAUGAAGUAGAUGUAAUCUUGCUGCCAGGAAUUCGUUCACCUGCAGAAUUUGGGGCCUUGCGAAGGAUGGUCACAGCUACCCUGAGAAGGUUAGGGUGCGCCCAGGAUGGUGACCAUGUUACUAGAGUGGUUGGGCGUGUAAGAUAUGGUAAGGAUUGAUUUCAAGGACGAAAUCUACUUUAAGUGGGGGAGAGUUGUAACACCCCGUUUAUGUAAAUAAAUUAAGAAAAGUAAGUCGCGGACUAAUUUGUGAAGAAUUUUGAAAGUCGAGGGUUAAAAGUGUACGUUCAAGACUUAAAUUGAAAUGAUUUGAAGGCUUAAGGGUUUAUUGGUGAUUUAGGGAUCUUUUAUGAAAGAAAUUAUGGAAUCGGGGGGGUUAAAAGGGUAACUAUUGAUUAAAACUGAAAAGAUUUAAUGAAGGAGGGGCUGAACUUGUAAAAUAUGGAAGAAGUUUGAAGGGUACGGGUGAACCCGUCACCCUAGUGUGCAGCCUUCAUAUUUAAUCUAAUGCAAACCCUAACCCUACACUUCAUUCAGCCGCCACUUCCUUUCUCUACCCCUCUCAACCGCCGCUAUCAGCUCCGACCAUUAGCGCCACCGAGGAAUGGAAGCCACCUAGUCGCAGUUGCGUGUCGAGGAUGCUACUGCCGUCCUUCACCAUCGAAGAGCCACAAUGUCGAUACCGGAGACGCCGUCGAUUGAAGGUCCGAAGAUUCGGUUGUUGGGUGUCGGGACGGAAGAGGAUGAAGAAAGAAUCAAGACGUCGUCGUCGUCGUUUCCCGGUCGGAGAAUUGCGCGCAUCCCUCGCCUCCAUCCUUUCUGCCAUUCAGCUGCCGUCGCUGCCACCGUGAGCGGUUGAAGAGUAUCGUCGCUGCUCCGAGACUGUCGUCGGUAUACUCCCCUUGCUGCUCUGAUUAUCUUUUACCACCCCAAGGGGGCUGUUGUGUUCGCAAUAGCAGACCUUCUGCCAAGGAAUGUCGUGAAGAACAACCAUGGCAGCCGGCCAUGGUGGUUAUUGCCGUCAACACCGCUAUCAACAGUUGAUGUUGCCACCGUGUGUGCCAAAUGGUGUUUAGGUGUGUUUAUUUAAUUUUUAGUUGGGUUGUGUGGGUAGUUUAUUUGGCCGGAAAAAGUCACCGCCGCCACCAGCCACCGUCGGCCGCCACUAGGGUGGCUAUGUGUGUAUGUGUAUUAUUUAGUUAGUGUGUGUGUGUUUAUUUUGGUUCAAAGCAUUGUAACUGUAAUCAGCAAGAAUAGUAAUGAAAAAAAGAACCAAACCACCACCGUGAGGUGGUGGCCGCCAUCGUAAGCGGCCAUAGACCACCACUACCCGAGGUGGUAGUGGAUGGUGCCCCACUAGCAAACCCUAAUGGGCUUAGAGAUUGGUGUUGUUCCCAUUGGGCCAUGUUUGGGUGUAAGACCCUAAUUGUUAGCAUUUGGGCGUUGGACCUAUUUGGACCCACUUUUGGGCCAUUGAGAUUAGAUUGUGAAUUAAGCCCAAACUAUUCCAUGCCAUUUACCUAGUAGAGUAAAGGACUUAACGGACUAAGUCCUUAAUGGGCUAAUUGAGAAAAUCCUAAUAUUUGAGAAAUUAUCAGGACACACGAGAAUUAUUUAAUAAAUGAAAUAUUAAAUAAUAAUCAUUGGCAUAAAUUAAUCUAAGCAAUAAUGGACUUAAUGGAUUAAGUCCUUAGUGGGUUAAGUCCUUAAUGAGUUAAGUAAGAAACACUUAACCCUAAUUGUCAUUUCAUGUGAAACCCUAAUUUCACUUGGGCUUUAUGUUGGGCCAUCCAAGAAUAAUUAAAUGGACUAGAGUAAUUAGUUGGGUUUUAGGGUAAGGCCCAUAUGAAGGAUUGGGCUCAAUUUGGAAAAUUGGGCCAUAGAUGGGCCAUAGUUUGGGCCUAGAUGGUUGUAUGAUAUUGGGCCCUUAGAAUGAGACAUGUUGGACUAGACUGAACAAUUGGGCCUUAAGGGAAGUCCAUGUAGAGGCUUGGGCCCAAUUUGGAAAAUUGGGCCAUAUGUUGGGCUUUAAUCCCUAGUUGACUUUAGGCCUAUGGAUUGGGCCUUGGGCUUGGGUAAGCCAAGCUAGGGGUAAUGUAGUAAUUAUCUACAGUAUGUAUUUAUAGUUAUGUGUUAGAACCCAAUUAUUAAUUGGGUGUCAUUUUGGUGUUGACAGUUCGGGAAUCUGUCAUCCAGCAGCUAGGGUUGAGUCUGCAGGACUUCAGCAGUAUGAGAUUGUGUCUACAGGACUUCAGCAGUCACAAGUGAGUUUCCUUCCAGUAGGAACGGGUCUACGGCCACAAUGUCGGCCCGUUUAGUUAGCAGUAGUUCCGGACUUCGGUCUGAUGCAGUAGUUCAGUGUGCUUGACGUCUUUGUGAUUCAAGCAUGUCUUUGUGUUAUGUGUUCCGGACUUCGUUCUGAUGUAGUAUGCAGUAUAUGUGUUUAUGCUAGUAGUUAUGAUUAUGCUAUGCUAUGUUCAGUCAGUUCCGGACUUCGGUCCGAUGUAGAGGGCAAGGCCCUGGUUAGUUCCGGACUUCGGUCCGAUGAAGAGGGCAAGGCCCUAGUUAGUUCCAGACUUCGGUCUGAUGCGGCUUCCAAACUUCGGUCUGAUGCAGAGGGCAAGGCCCUGGUUAGUUUCCGACUUCGGUUCGAUGAAAAGGCAAGGCCCUGGUUAGUUCCGGACUUCGGUCCGAUGCAGUGGGCAAGGCCAAGUAGUUGCUUUAUAUGUUAUUGUAUGGUAUGUGGUAGUUUAGGGGAGCUCACUAAGCUUUGUGUUAACGGUUUUCAGUUUUGGUUUCAGGUACUCAGUUUUUAGGAAGAGGAGCUCGGGAAGAUUGCAGUGCAAACACCAUUGUUCAGCCUGGGAUGUUUAUACUCUGAUAUAUUUGACAUUUGUUCUGAUAUUUUGAGAUACAUUGUUUAUGAUUCUUAUGUGACGUUUGAUGAAUAUGGUUUUAUUACUAAUUCAAAACGAAAUUUUCAGACUGUAUUUUU
rnacentral:lncRNA from 1 species